rnacentral:ribozyme from 1 species
AAAACUACCGAACUUAUUUACUGCGUAACUUAAGUGCCACCCUUAAGGCUAAUAUAGGCUCUCCUCCCUAACUCCUACUCAUUACGUCCACGACGUACCGAAUGGCAACAUGUGAUAUUUUUCCGUGGCUGAAAUGAGAGGG